GACGAACGCUGGCGGCGUGCCUAACACAUGCAAGUCGAACGGAAAGGCCCUGCUCUUGCGGGGUGCUCGAGUGGCGAACGGGUGAGUAACACGCGAGUAACCCGUCCCUGACUUUGGGAUAACACUAGGAAACUGGGGCUAAUACCGGAUAGGAGCUCCUGCAGCACGGUGGGGGUUGGAAAGUUUCGGCGGUUGGGGAUGUACUCGCGGCUUACCAGCUUGAUGGUGGGGUAGUGGCUUACCAAGGCUUUGACGGCUAGCCGGCCUGAGAGGGUGACCGGCGACAUUGGGACUGAGGUACGGCCCAGACGCCUACGGGAGGCAGCAGUGGGAAGUAUUGCGCAGUGGGCGGAAGCCUGAUGCGGCAACGCCGCGUGCGGGAUGACGGCCUUCGGGUUAUAAACCGCUUUCGCCUGUGACGAAGCGUGAGUGACGGUAAUGGGUAAAGAAGCACCGGCUAACUACGUG
rnacentral:rRNA from 1 species